GGUACACAUUGCUGUCCAGCCAGCUGCCAGUGGACCUUCCUUGUAAGUAACUCCUCAGUAAACCCACAUAUCUCGUUCGCUGACUCUGGGUCUUUUCUUUGGUCUCUUGGCAACCUAUCCCGCACUGCUCACCCAGCUGGGUGUGUGGUAGAACACUUGGCGAAGACAGAAAAACCCCCAUGAGUGCUGAGACUAUGGGCGAUGGAAGGGGAAUCUGCAGGGGUAAUCCUGGGUCCGCCCUGUGGGGGCUGGCUGCCACUAUCCUUGAAGGAGAGGGCCCACUGUACCUUCAGGAAGCCUCCGGAUCCCUCCUCACCCACCUAUGCCAACAAGGAUGGGUGGUAAACGACAACAAAAGGUCUGGAUUAUCUGUCAAAUACUUAGCUGUUAUCUGGUCAGAUAAGACAAAAGUGGUUCUUGCCACUGUCAUAAAUAAGAUAAGGGGUGCCUGUCCUCUUUAUAAGUUGGGGCAAAGGGGUAUGAUCCGGGACUGGGGGACCACCAAGCAGAAGGCCUUCACCCAAGCCAAAUAACAGUGAAACAAAUCCAGUCCUUGGGUGUUUAACACAAGGACAAUUGCGUGAACUGGAUGUUUCCAGUAACCUAGAGAGGUUCGGAUGGGGUCUCUGGCAGAGGCAAGGCAAUAAACCUUGGCUCCUGGUCCCCAUUGUGGAAAGGGGCUGGAAACCAGUACAAUGCCCUCAAACAACUGUGUGCUGCUUACUUGGCCUUCCAGCAGGUGGAGCCCAUAACCUGUUCCCUGCUGGUCACAAUCCGUACUCAUCCGCCCAUUGCCAGGUGGCUGCAGGACGCUCUCCAGAAGCCCCACUCGAGAGCAACCCAAACACAGACAUUGGCAAAAUGGCAUGCACACUUACAACGACGAGGGACCCUGACCAACAGUCCCCUCAGUGCCGAACUGCAUGCCAUCCUGGGGCCAGUAACAUACACCACAGAAAAAACAACCCUGUUAGAUGAGGCGCCCAUGCCUGAAACCCUGCCAAACGUACAGAAAGGAGAAGGACCAAUCCCAGUGGAGGCCUGGUAUAUGGAUGGCUCUGCAAGGGGCAACCCCCCUCCCGACUCCCCAGUGGACAGCACUAGCCAUCCAGCCUUCGACCGACAGCGUGUGGUUGGACUGUGGCUCUGGGUACAAUAGUCAAUGGGCUGAACUGCGAGCUGCCUGGAUGGUGCUGACUCGUGAACCCGAUCCAAUGCGUCUGUGCAUGGACAGGUGGGCGGUCUACAAAGGGCUCACCCUGUGGAUGGCACAGAGGGCACAACAAAAGUGGACAAUUAAUGGUCGCCCAUUGUGGGGGGCAGAACUCUGGGAUGAUAUCUGGCAGCAGGUCCAGGGAAUGACAGUAACAGUGUACCAUGUGUCUGCACAUCAGGCGAUGACGCCACCAGGGAACCAACAAGCAGAUGAGUUAGCUUGGAUUCGUCUCCUGGAAGAAGUGCCAGCCAAAAGAGUGGCAGAGCAGCUACACAAGAAGACUGGCACAAAGGACAAAGAAUCCUAGGGGCUAUUGCCAAGGCCUGGGGCCUCCCCCUGCACUAUGCUGGUGUGGUGCAGGUCUGUCGGGUGUGCCCUUCUUGCUCCUCGCAGAGACCCUGGGCCAUUCCCUGGGACACAGGCCAAAUAGCCAGAAACAACGCUGGCAAGUGGACUACAUUGGGCCCUUGCCUCUUUCUGAUGGCUGUCGGCAUGCUCUCACUUGUGUGGGGACAUCUACAGGACUGCUACAGACAUACCCCAGCAAAAGGGCCACAGCAUGAGGCCUGGGACGUCUCUGUGCUGCAUACGGUGUUCCCACAGACAUCAACAGUGACAAAGGUAUGCAUUUUACUGGCCAUCAGGUACAGACACGGGCUGGUCAAAUGGACAUACAUUGGCAUUCUCACCUGCCACACAAUCCCAUGGCCACAAGGCUGGUAGAACAAAUGAAUGGCUUCCUGAAACAAUUGAGGAUAGAAGACAGAACCCUAGCCCACUAGACAAGACACCUGGCAACUGCAAUACGUCAACUGAAUGAACAUGAGAGGCGCACCCAACCCAACGCAUAUGAGAUGUUGACACAAGGACCUGAUACAACAGUGCGUCUACAGACAAGGGAUCAUCAAAGAGACAAACUACAGCCACAGAUGAGCACUCAGAACAACUUGCUUUUUCCUCUGCCACAGAACUCCCUACUGGGACCCACAUGGUCACUUGCCCUGGGACUGGCAGGUCUGCCUCACGCCGGGAGCUGGGAAAAGGAGUCCAGGAAUAAUGACAAGAAAAAGAAGUCUGUACGGGCACAUCACAGACCUUUCCACCUGCGGCCGGUUGAAUCCACAUCACACAGGGGAGCGACUGUCCGUGGUUUAGGGAGUAGGAGGCAAAGGGAAGAUUUACGCCGCG
rnacentral:lncRNA from 1 species